AUGAGUAUCGACGGGCAGAUUUGGCAAGGCAAUGAGCUGUUGUUCACAGCUCGCCAAUGGGAGGAGUCCCUAAACCUCACAUGCACUGCAAGGAAUGAUGACUCUGGGAGGUCCUCUACAGUAACAAAGAUACUGCAGGUUUUAGCUGGACCUACCAACAUAUCGAUCACAGGCCCUGCCCUGAUGACCCCAGGGGCCCCUCAAAGCUUCCAGUGUAACGCAGACUGCCGUCCCUCCUGCAACUACACCUGGAAGAUAAAGGGUCGAUGGCUCGGGGGGCAGGGGAACAAGAUUACUGUAACUCCCGAAGAGUUGGCCACCUCUGCUACCCUGAACUGCAAGGCCAUCAACAGUGUGUCCGGGCUCUAUGCCAUGGCAACCAGGACAAUUCCUGUAACAUCUGGUCCAUCAGAGGUCCACGUCAUCGGCCCAGACUCUGUUGCAGUCGGCUUCAAGUCCAUGUUUCAGUGCACUGCCAAAUGCACUCCCGCUUGUGACUACCGCUGGACCAUUGAUGGUCACACUGUCCACGGUAGUGAGAUGGAGAUGACGGUCGAGCGAAAUGUGAAGUCAGAGAAGAUUAUGUGCCACGCUCAGAAUACGGUCUCAACUCAUUUUGAGGUGGUCACCAAGUCCAUACGGGUGGAAGAAAAUGACAAAAAUAAGAUCCUCUCCAAAAAAUAUGGUUGUCAAGCUGUGUCCAGUUUGUGUUUGUCCAAGAAGACCAUCUCUGGGAGGAAGCAUCAGCAUUGUACAGCAGCUGAAACCUGGUCCCGAUUGAGUCCGAACAUACCUUGCUGA
rnacentral:lncRNA from 1 species